rnacentral:rRNA from 1 species
GAUGAACGCUAGCUACAGGCUUAACACAUGCAAGUCGAGGGGCAGCAUGAACUUAGCUUGCUAAGUUUGAUGGCGACCGGCGCACGGGUGAGUAACACGUAUCCAACCUGCCGAUGACUCGGGGAUAGCCUUUCGAAAGAAAGAUUAAUACCCGAUGGCAUAGUUCUUCCGCAUGGUAGAACUAUUAAAGAAUUUCGGUCAUCGAUGGGGAUGCGUUCCAUUAGGUUGUUGGCGGGGUAACGGCCCACCAAGCCUUCGAUGGAUAGGGGUUCUGAGAGGAAGGUCCCCCACAUUGGAACUGAGACACGGUCCAAACUCCUACGGGAGGCAGCAGUGAGGAAUAUUGGUCAAUGGACGAGAGUCUGAACCAGCCAAGUAGCGUGAAGGAUGACUGCCCUAUGGGUUGUAAACUUCUUUUAUACGGGAAUAAAGUGAGGCACGUGUGCCUUUUUGUAUGUACCGUAUGAAUAAGGAUCGGCUAACUCCGUGCCAGCAGCCGCGGUAAUACGGAGGAUCCGAGCGUUAUCCGGAUUUAUUGGGUUUAAAGGGAGCGUAGGCGGACGCUUAAGUCAGUUGUGAAAGUUUGCGGCUCAACCGUAAAAUUGCAGUUGAUACUGGGUGUCUUGAGUACAGUAGAGGCAGGCGGAAUUCGUGGUGUAGCGGUGAAAUGCUUAGAUAUCACGAAGAACUCCGAUUGCGAAGGCAGCUUGCUGGAC